rnacentral:rRNA from 1 species
CUACGGGGGGCUGCAGUGGGGAAUCUUGGACAAUGGGCGCAAGCCUGAUCCAGCCAUGCCGCGUGAGUGAAGAAGGCCUUAGGGUCGUAAAGCUCUUUCGCCAGAGAUGAUAAUGACAGUAUCUGGUAAAGAAACCCCGGCUAACUCCGUGCCAGCAGCCGCGGUAAUACGGAGGGGGUUAGCGUUGUUCGGAAUUACUGGGCGUAAAGCGCGCGUAGGCGGAUUAGUCAGUCAGAGGUGAAAUCCCAGGACUCAACCCUGGAACUGCCUUUGAUACUGCUAGUCUUGAGUUCGAGAGAGGUGAGUGGAAUUCCGAGUGUAGAGGUGAAAUUCGUAGAUAUUCGGAGGAACACCAGUGGCGAAGGCGGCUCACUGGCUCGAUACUGACGCUGAGGUGCGAAAGUGUGGGGAGCAAACAGGAUUAGAUACCCGAGUAGUC